GGCUGGGGGGCUGGGACAUUAAGAGGCUGGGGGGCUGGGACAUUAAGAGGCUGGGGACGAUGUUGACACUGGAAGACUUUGUAACCUCCGGACUAAACUGUUGUUGUUAGCAGGUAAUAUGUGGUUUUAUAACACGGUCUGGGUUGUUUAGAACAAACAGUGGACCUCUAAGAUGAUAGAGGGAGAGAGAGACACGGGACCAGAACAGGACAGUUUUUUGUGUCCGUGUUUUUUUGGGGGGAGGAAUGUAAAGGAUAGAUUUUAUACAAAAGUUUAAAUACCCAAAACCCCUUGUCCCCUGAGCCUAAGGCCUCCCAAUCCCAAACAUAUACCCAGCCCUGCCCAGCCUCUACCCUUACUUCAGCUGGUCUAACCUAUUCCUGACAGGAUAUACCCAGCCCUGCCCAGCCUCUACCUUCACUUCAGCUGGUCUAACCUAUUCCUGACAGGAUAUACCCAGCCCAGCCCAGCCUCUACCCUCACUUCAGCUGGUCUAACCUAUUCCUGACAGGAUAUACCCAGCCCUGCCCAGCCUCUACCUUCACUUCAGCUGGUCUAACCUAUUCCUGACAGGAUAUACCCAGCCCUGCCCAGCCUCUACCUUCACUUCAGCUGGUCUAACCUAUUCCUGACAGGAUAUACCCAGCCCAGCCCAGCCUCUACCCUCACUUCAGCUGGUCUAACCUAUUCCUGACAGGAUAUACCCAGCCCUGCCCAGCCUCUACCUUCACUUCAGCUGGUCUAACCUAUUCCUGACAGGAUAUACCCAGCCCUGCCCAGCCUCUACCUUCACUUCAGCUGGUCUAACCUAUUCCUGACAGGAUAUACCCAGCCCAGCCCAGCCUCUACCCUCACUUCAGCUGGUCUAACCUAUUCCUGACAGGAUAUACCCAGCCCUGCCCAGCCUCUACCUUCACUUCAGCUGGUCUAACCUAUUCCUGACAGGAUAUACCCAGCCCUGCCCAGCCGCUACCCUCAAUUCAGCUGGUCGAACCUAUUCCUGACAGGAUAUACCCUGCCCAGCCUCUACCCUCAAUUCAGCUGGUCGAACCAAUUCCUGACAGGAUAUACCCAGCCCUGCCCAGCCUCUACCUUCACUUCAGCUGGUCUAACCUAUUCCUGACAGGAUAUACCCUGCCCAGCCUCUACCCUCAAUUCAGCUGGUCGAACCUAUUCCUGACAGGUCUGGGAAAAUAACAGGAGAAAUGUGAUGACUAAAUCACCAGAGAACUGGGGAGAAAAUAGGAGUCAACGUCGUAAACUGAAUGACAUACAAUGAGUGGACAAAACAUUAAGAACACCUUCCUAAUAUUGACUUGCACCCCCCCCCUUUCCCCCUCAGAACAGCCUCAAUGUGUCGGGGUAUAGACUCUACAAGGUGUUGAAAGCGUUCCACAGGGAUGCUGGCCCAUGUUGACUCCAAUGCUUUCCACAGUGGUUUCAAGUUGGCUGGAUGUCCUUUGGGUGGUUAAACAUUCUUUAUACACACGGGAAACUUUUGAGCGUUAAAAACCCAGCAGCUUUGCAGUUCUUGACACAACGGUGCACCCGUCACCUACUACCAUACCCACUACCCCCUACCAUACCCACUACCAUACCCACUACCAUAUCCACUACCCCCUACCAUACCCACUACCAUACCCACUACCCCCUACCAUACCCACUACCAUACCCACUACCCCCUACCAUACCCACUACCCCCUACCAUACCCACUACCAUACCCACUACCCCCUACCAUACCCACUACCAUAUCCCAUUCAAAGACCCUUACAUUUUUCUUGUCCAUUCACCCUCUGAACGUCACACACACACAAUCCAUGUCUCAAUUGUCUCAAGGCUUAAAAAUCCUUCUUUAACCUGUCUUCUCCCCUUCAUCUACAGUCGUGGACAAAAGAUUUGAGAAUGACACAAAUAUUCAUUUUCACAAAGUCUGCUGCUUCAGUGUUUUUAGAUAUUUUUGUUAGAUGUUACUAUGGAAAACUGAAGUAUAAUUACAAGCAUUUCAUAAGUGUCAAUGGCUUUUAUUGAUAAUUACAUGAAGUUGAUGCAGAGUCAAUAUUUGCAGUGUUGACCCUUCUUUUUCAAGACCUCUGCAAUCCGCCCUGGCAUGCUGUCAAUUAACUUCUGGGCCACAUCCUGACUGAUGGCAGCCCAUUCUUGCAUUAUCAAUGCUUGGAGUUUGUAAGAAUUUGUGGGGUUUUAUUUGUCCACCCGCCUCUUGAGGAUUGACUACAAGUUCUCAAUGGGAUUAAGGUCUGGGGAGUUUCCUGGCCAUGGACCCAAAACAUUGAUGUUUUGUGCCACUUUUGCCUUAUGGCAAGGUGCUCCAUCAUGCUGGAAAAGGCAUUGUUCAUCACCAAACUGCUCCUGGUGCCCCGAUCCCGCAGCUGAAUCAACUGUAGGAGACAGUCCUGGUGCUUGCUGGACUUUCUUGGGCGCCCUGAAGCCUUCUUCACAACAAUUGAACCGCUCUCCUUGAAGCUCUUGAUGAUCUGAUAAAUGGUUGAUUUAGAUGCAAUCUUACUGGCAGCAAUAUCCUUGCCUGUGAAGCCCUUUUUGUGCAAAGCAAUGAUGACGGCGCGUGUUUCCUUGCAGGUAACCAUGUUUGACAGAGGAAGAACAAUGAUUUCAAGCACCACCCUCCUUUUGAAGCUUCCAGUCUGUUAUGCAAACUCAAUCAGCAUGUCAGAGCGAUCUCCAGCCUUGUCCUCGUCAACACUCACACCUGUGUUAAGAAGAGAAUCACUGACAUGAAGUCAGCUGGUCCUUUUGUGGCAGGGAAGAAAUGCAGUGAAAAUGUUUUUUGGGGGGAUUCAGUUCAUUUGCAUGGCAAAGAGGGACUUUGCAAUCAAUACACUGAUUGAAAUGGACUUAACAAGAGAUGUCAAUAAGGGAUCAUAGCUUUCGCCUGGUCAGUCCAGGGGCGGCAGGGAGCCUAGGUGGUUAGAGCGUUGGACUAGUAACCAAAAGGUUGCAAGAUUGAAUCCCUGAGCUGACAAGGUCAAAAUCUGUCCUUCUGGCCCUGAGCAAGGCAGUUUGUUCUUAACUGACUUGCCUAGUUAAAUAAAGGUAAAAUAAAUGUCAUUGAAAGAACAGGUGUUCAUAAUGUUUUGUACACUCAGUGUAUAUGUAAAUAAUAUAAAUGAAAUGUAAACACACAUUGAAAUAAAUGUAAAGCCCAUUGAAGCGAAUGUAAUGCAUUUCACCACAGGGUAUUACACCUGUCAAACUAAUCAAUCACUCACCACCAGCAUUUACUACAGGACUGAGGUCACGUCUCCGUGUUUCACAGCUGUGUUGUGAUUGGAUACGUUUUGCAGUUCUGGGCUCUCAUUGGAUGAUUUGGGCAGUUGUGGGCUUUCAUCUCACACUGUCAAUUGUUCCCAUUGAGUUAUUUGUUGUAAAUUGUCGUCAGCUGUUACUGUGUCAGACUGUCCUAUUAGGUCUCUGUUCUGACUGUCCUAACAGGUCUCUGUUCUGUCUGUCACUAUGUCAGACUGUCCUAGCAGGUCUCCGUUCAGACUGUCACUGUGUCAGACUGUCCUUGCAGGUCUCUGUUCUGACUGUCUAGCAGGUCUCUGUUCUGACUGUCUAGCAGGUCUCUGUUCUGUCUGUCACUAUGUCAGACUGUCCUAGCAGGUCUCCGUUCAGACUGUCACUGUGUCAGACUGUCCUUGCAGGUCUCUGUUCUGACUGUCUAGCAGGUCUCUGUUCUGACUGUCUAGCAGGUCUCUGUUCUGACUGUCCUAGCAGGUCUCUGUUCUGACUGUCCUAGCAGGUCUCUGUUCUGUCUGUCACUAUGUCAGACUGUCCUAGCAGGUCUCCGUUCAGACUGUCACUGUGUCAGACUGUCCUUGCAGGUCUCUGUUCUGACUGUCUAGCAGGUCUCUGUUCUGACUGUCUAGCAGGUCUCUGUUCUGUCUGUCCUAGCAGGUCUCUGUUCUGACUGUCCUUGCAGGUCUCUGUUCUGACUGUCCUUGCAGGUCUCUGUUCUGACUGUCUAGCAGGUCUCUGUUCUGUCUGUCCUAGCAGGUCUCUGUUCUGACUGUCCUUGCAGGUCUCUGUUCUGACUGUCCUUGCAGGUCUCUGUUCUGACUGUCCUUGCAGGUCUCUGUUCUGACUGUCUAGCAGGUCUCUGUUCUGACUGUCACUGUGUCAGACUGUCAUAGCAGGUCUCUGUUCUGACUGUCAUAGCAGGUCUCUGUUCUGACUGUCUAGCAGGUCUCUGUUCUGACUGUCUAGCAGGUCUCUGUUCUGACUGUCCUAGCAGGUCUCUGUUCUGACUGUCCUAGCAGGUCUCUGUUCUGACUGUCUAGCAGGUCUCUGUUCUGACUGUCUAGCAGGUCUCUGUUCUGACUGUCCUAGCGGGUCUCUGUUCUGACUGUCCUAGCGGGUCUCUGUUCUGACUGUCCUAGCAGGUCUCUGUUUUGACUGUCCUAGCAGGUCUCUGUUCUGUCUGUCUAGCAGGUCUCUGUUCUGACUGUCUAGCAGGUCUCUGUUCUGACUGUCCUAGCAGGUCUCUGUUCUGACUGUCCUAGCAGGUCUCUGUUCUGACUGUCCUAGCAGGUCUCUGUUCUGACUGUCCUAGCAGGUCUCUGUUCUGACUGUCUAGCAGGUCUCUGUUCUGACUGUCCUAGCAGGUCUCUGUUCUGACUGUCCUAGCAGGUCUCUGUUCUGACUGUCCUUGCAGGUCUCUGUUCUGACUGUCCUUGCAGGUCUCUGUUCUGACUGUCCUUGCAUGUCUCUGUCCUGACUGUCCUUGCAGGUCUCUGUUCUGACUGUCCUAGCAGGUCUCUGUUCUGACUGUCUAGCAGGUCUCUGUUCUGACUGUCUAGCAGGUCUCUGUUCAGACUGUCCUAGUGGGUCUCCACACCAUUCUGGGAGUACUAUUCUGUCUGUAAAGUCAAAUCCCCUGGUUGCUCGUUUUAUGUUUUCUUUUGUAAACAAUGAGAUGCUUUUGGAAUAAAAGUCUAAAGAAAAACA